rnacentral:tRNA from 4 species
GGCUCCAUAGCUCAGUGGAUUAGAGCGUUCGCCUCCGGAGCGAAAGGUCGCGGGUUCGAACCCCGCUGGAGUCACCA